UACAGAGACUGCAAGCGUUAUUCGGCUUCACUGGGCGUACAGGGUGCGCAGGCGGCCAAGUGUGUCAGAUGUGAAAUCCCGAGGCUCAACCUCGGAACUGCGUCUGAAACUACUUGGCUAGAGUACUGGAGAGGGUAACGGAAUUCACGGUGGAGCAGUGAAACGCGUAGAUAUCGUGAGGAACACCAGAGGCGAAGGCGGGUACCUGGACAGUUACUGACGCUCAGGCACGAAAGCGUGGGGAGCAAAAGGG
rnacentral:rRNA from 1 species